CUUCUCUAAUCUUUUCUCAAUCUGCAUUCUUGUAAAAGAUAUAAUUUAGUUCUAUUAGCUUGUCUUGCCGUGGUUAAUAAAUAUAAAAGCCAACAAUAAUGCUCGAAGACUAUGAACCAAAAUAACUUUUUUUUUUGAACUGUUAUAAGCAGCAAUAGCUGACAAAGUUAUUACUAGAAUACUACAGUUAGGCAAAUCAUUUAAGAAUUAGGCAAAUCAUGUAAGGAUCCUCUCUUAUGCACAGGCGUACACAGAAAAACAACGGUGCUGAACACACACUAUUUAGCAUACCUGGUCCAAAUCUGAGAAAAUGAG
rnacentral:misc_RNA from 1 species